rnacentral:rRNA from 1 species
UACAGAGGGGGCAAGCGUUGUUCGGAAUUACUGGGCGUAAAGGGCGCGUAGGCGGCCUUCUAAGUCGAACGUGAAAUCCCCGGGCUCAACCCGGGAACUGCGUCCGAUACUGGAAGGCUUGAAUCCGGGAGAGGGAUGUGGAAUUCCAGGUGUAGCGGUGGAAUGCGUAGAGAUCGGGAAGAACACCCGUGGCGAAGGCGGCCGGACUGGGCCGGAUC